CCCACGCCGCCGCUCCAUAGCCUCCACCUAACGCUGCUCCACCGCCUCCAUUUCUUUUACCCUGCUCCGCCUUCCUCCACCCGCUUCCGCCUGUCAAACCCUAGUUUCGUGGCGCCUCCUCUAUUUCUCCUCUCUGACUAUCGGCGCUAGCACUCACCGCGCCCUUUCUGAAAUCCGACGAAUAGCAACAGAUGCGGCUUAAGCGAGAAGACGAUGCAGAGGAAAGAAACCCUAGCGCCGCUUCCCCCGCAACCAUUUUUGAAAUCCGGCGAAUAGCAGCGACGAAGCAGUGGCGUCGGCGGCUUGAGCAAGAAGACGAUGCAGAUCUUGGCUUCAAUAACUGGGUCGCCGCCUCCAUCAACUUCACAGACUCAGAUUGUGAUUUGGUGAUUUGGGGAUCUAGGAGUGAAUUUUGGUUUGUUGCCGGAGAUGAAAGUUGGUUGGAUUUGUUGCCUUAUUUGGAUUUCGGCGAAGUGUUCCAGAUCCGUUCCUGAGAUUUCUCCAAUUUCUCUAAUUUCAUUCUCAAUGUAUAUUUUUAGCAUUUUAGUUUUGAAAUUUUUGAUUGAUUUAUUCGAGUUCGAUUUGUUUUGGUAAAUUUUGAUUGUUUUGAGUUAUACUCCCUCCGUCCAUGAAAGAACUUCCUAGGAGGGAGUGACACAGGUUUUAAGAAAAAAUAUUGUUUAGGGUGCAUUUGAAAACUUGGUUAAGUUAAUGACAUUUUUCCAAACUCAAGAAAAGGUUGCUGGAUUUGGCCAGCAAAGCUAAAUAGGCUCAGUGUUUGAUAACACCAUGUUAUAAGCGCGAAAAAGUACUGAGGUUGUUUGAUAUCACAUGCUGUUUUCAUGAAAUAAUAGCAAAAGGUCCAAAAUAGGGGUGAGCAAAAUAUCUGAAAUCCGAAUAUCCGAUCCGAACCAAACCGAAAUUUAAAAUUUGGUUCGGAUUUUUCGGAUUUUCGGAUCGGAUCGGAUUGAAUUUUAAGCAAAUUUAGGAUUUUCGGAUCGGAUCGGAUUGGCACCUUAAAAAUCCGAAAAAAUCCGAAAUCCGAAUUAUAUUUAUAAUAUAAUUAAUAUUAUAAUAUUAUAAAUAAAUAUAUAUAAUUAUUAAUUUUUAAAUAGUUAAAUAUUUCUAAAUUCUAACCCUAUACUCCCAUUUUGGUUGAUUAUAAUUAAUGGUUUGUUAACUAUGACCUUAAUUUGAUUGUAAUUAUCUAAUAUGUUAGGUUGACAUCUAUUUCGGAUUUUUUCGGUUUUCGGAUUUUUUUUGACAUUUCGAAUUUUUUUUAACAUUUCGGGUUUUUCGGUUCGGAUCGGAUUUUAUCCGAAAUUUUUCGAAUUUUCAGAUUCGAAUUUUCGGAUAAUACGGUUCGGAUCGGAUUGAAUUUUAGGAAAAUUUCGGAUUUUCGGAUUGGAUCGGAUCAGGCAAAAAUUCGAUCCGAAAUCCGAAUGCUCACCCCUAGUCCAAAAUAUCCUUAAAAACAUUACUUAAUUAAUCCUAUUUUAUUAACCUUUAUAAUUAAAAAGAAAAAGAAAAAGAAAAAAACCCUUUCACCACCCACCCACCAGUCACCACCAUCACCGCCUAAGAGAGUGAAAAUAUUAAAAAAUCUCUCGUCCACCAAGCAACCCACUAUUAUGUAUUUAUCUUUUUCUUCUUCUUUUCUCCUUGAUUAAUCCUCCGCUCCAAAAUUUGUUUGCAUUAACAAUAAUAACUGUCACAAAGAACUCUCCCUCAAGAGAGUGGAAAUUUGCAUAAAUUGAUACCUCUCAAGAAAGUUGCAGCAAUUUGUGAGAUUUCGCGAUGGUGAAGAAAAAAGUUGUUGUUGUCCGACUAUAACAAAUGGAGGGAGACCGGUGAUGGCGGCUUUCGCUGCUGCUCGUCGGAGAGAGAGGGAAGUCGAGGAAGUACUGAGGCUGACCGGUGGUUGCUCUCGCCGAGAAGGGGGCGGCGCCGCUUGUGCGUACGAGUGUUCUGAUUUGGUGUGUGUGUGUGUGAUUCUCCAAAGAGGAAGAAGAAGAGAGAAAUGGAUGAAUUGGGGGCAAUUUUGUAGAAAAAAAAAUUAAACUUGAAACUCCAUAUUAGCUAACCAGGGGGAGCAUCGGUUGUGUUUCCUUGAGAAAAUGAGGAUUUAGCGCCGGGCCUGCCCCUUUACAUGGGCUUGCUUGUUUAAUUUACUUGGAAAUCAAACAAUAUUUUUAGCCUAGUAAAGGAAGUAAUACAGUCAUAACAAGGAAAUCAAACUGUUCCUUAGUGUAUUAAGGGUGGAUAAAAGGUAGUUGAGUGUAUUGAGAGUGGUGAAAAGGUGUUAUAAUUAAUAUUGAGAGUUGUGGAAAAUAAAAAGUAAUAGGAUUAUAAGUGGUGGGUAUAGUACAAAAAUAGGUAGGAAGUUCUUUUGUGGACGUCCCAAAAAGGAAAGAUAGGAAGUUCUUUCGUGGACGGAGGGAGUAUUUGUUAAAUUUUCGAUUGAUUUGAGUUCGAUUGAUUUUCGUUAAAUUAUUUGAAUUAUCCAAUUGGUGUUGUUGAAUAAGAGCACCGGCAACGCCUUACUCGAUAGGCUACUCGAGUAAGGCGUUGCCUUCGAGUAGGUGCGUUGCGGGGGGGCGGUCCUCGAGCAAUACUCGAGUCUUCGAGUAUGCUAAAAAAAAAAUAGAUAAAUUCGAAUUUAUAUUCGAUUUUUUUUUAUGUUUUAGGUGUUUUUAAAUUUUAUGUUUAAUGACGUAUUUAACUAUUACAAAAAUAUGUUAUUUAAAUUAUGCAAUAAAAUUUAAAUGAAAAACAUAAAAUCAAAACUAAUGUUAUCAAGUAGGCUAUCAAGUAACCCCAAUGCAGCACUACCUACUCAAUAACACAACCACUAUCAAGUAGGCUAUCAAGGAACCCCAUUGCGGAUGCUCUAAGUGUAUCUAAUUUGUUGAACUAGUUUGAAUUAUUCCUUAAACUCAUUACUAAACACAUGUGGACCACACUCCUUACUCACUUAAUUUUCUUCUCCUUAAUCUCCGUACCAAACAGUAACGUCCCAUAAAUAAUGGGACGGAGGGAGUAACAAUUAGCUAAACAAUAAGGGUUCUUAAUUACAUUUCUCUCUCCUACUUUAUCACUUUAUUACAUUCUCUCUCCUACUUUAUCACUUUUAUACUUUAUUACCUACGUACUUAAAACACUAAUCUACAACUCCUUAAUUUCCUAUGUCGAAACCAAAUAUGUCAAGAUUCGUGGGACGGAAGGAGUAUUUAUGAUAAAGAAAUAUUUUGAAUAUGAAUCAUGAUGAAUAUAUCACAUAGAUCAUUGUUUUAUGUACAAUUGUUUUUGAUCCAUGAAAACAUGGAUCCUCAAAAUACCCACAAAUAUAGCAUGAAUUGUAAUUCAAACAUUCCGUCACAAUUUCUAUUAGGACAAUCAGUUACAGCAUUUUUUUUUGAAGUACGUAUAAUUAAAUUUUCUUAACUACCGUUGUUUGUGGGCAUUUUUUUUUUUAAAAUUGAAUUAUGCUUUAAACAAAACUAUAAGGAUGUGUUUGCUUUGAGGUAUAUUUAUCACCUUAUACCUCGUUUGCUUUGAUGUAUGAAAAAAUUCGGACAGAUUGUAUAAUUUUUCGGCAGCUCUUUAUCCUUUGGAAAAUGAAUAAUUUUAUACCUAAGAAAUGGUGGUAUAAUUUCUUAUAAGGAGUGAAUAAAUAUAUUAUCCUUCAAACCAACAAGAUAUAAAAAAUAUGAUCUCCACUAAGUGAUAAAUUUAUACUUUAUUAUAUUAUUCCUUCAUUUAGCUAGAGGGAUAAAAAGCAAACACACGUAAUAGUAUAAUAUGGUAUAGUGUUUCAAAAUUAAUUCAUGGGUCAUGAGUAUGACCAUUAUUUUAUCUAAAUAUACUUUUUUUUUAAAAUUCGAUUCGUGAUGAACACAUCUUGUUAUCUAUAAUCAAGCACGAUUUCUUUAUAUCAACAAAGAAUAAGAUCAAAACAACGAUUUUAGGGAAGCCACGUAUAUAUGCAAACAUCUCGCCAGCAUAGACAAAUAUCAAUAAAGAAGUCAUCUUAGGACAUCUACAGUUGGGAAGUGUCUACCCUGCACAGUGUGCAAUGCACACUGUCGUUAAGAUUGUGACACAUGGCCACUCCCCAAAACCCAUUUUUCCAUAAAUCACAAAUCAACCCCUUAUAAAUUUGCAAAUACAAAAUUCCCCACCACAGUUUCAAUUUAGGCAGAAAACCCCUUUUUUCAAAGAAAAUCAUGCAAUUAAUCAUAAUAUGACCCAACAUGCUUCCGUAACAAUUCAAAAUUAAUCUAAACAUAAACCAACAUUAUACCUCUCGUCGAAUGGUCUUCUUCAGGAGUCAGUACUUGUUGCGUUUUACGGAUCGUCUGCCCCCAAGGUGAAGGAAUAUUAAACUGAAUUAAUACUCGAUUUGCCCGAAGAUCGUUUCUUGGAUUAUUAUUAAUUUAUCAUACAACGAUUAAUCCCUAACAUGCCCCUAUGAAUUUAAGUGCUGCACGUUGUAGUUCAGAAAUACCUGAAGAAUUCAGAAGAAUUCAUCAAAUUCGCAGCUGAACAGACCAGUCAGCUUCAAGCCUCAAACGUCCUCAAAUCGUAUUUUUCCCAGAAAUACGAUUUUUUCGUAUUCGAGAGAGCUUUCCGUGGCCGCCUGUUUCUCCUGAAUCGGAGUUCUAUGGAGGAAGUUAUGGCCGUUCUCCCGAAACUGCCAGAACUUGAUUUCCCGCGAAAAUCUGACUCCAGCUCAGAUGUUCUGAAAUGUAUCCCGCUCAGCUUUCACCGUUGGAUGGACAACGAGCUGUAAAAGUCCUAAGAGAGAAUUCAGCCCUGCACGCCUAGCGCCGCUCUGUGCUCUCAAAAACCCUAAUAUUUUGAUGUGUGUGUAUUUUUUCUGAGAACAAACAGCUGUAUUUAAAUAAAUAAAUCACAACUGGGGCGCUAGUUUCCUUGUGCUGGACGAAAAUUCUCUCUGCUAGGGCUAGGAGACUUUGGGCCAGUCCAAGGACCAGAUACAAGGAAUAAAGAUGGGCCUCAAAUAAAUUAAUUCUCCAUUGUCAGCCAGACCAUAAUUAAUUUAUAAAUAUUAGUUCAUUCCACUAGAGAACUAAUACUGACUUAUCCCUUUAUUGCCGGUGAUGAGUCGAGGCUUGUAUUUAGACUUAUUAAAUCUUCGUAUUUAAAAUAUCCGACAUCCAUUAAUUAAUUAGAGCUCUGACAGCUUAAAUUAAUUAAUCUCUUUGUAAUCCUUAAGCAGUACUACUCAAACUUUAUUAUUGCGCCUGAACUUAAUCAACCUGCAGGGUUUAACGCAAUAAACCUUAUUGAGCUCCUUAAGGGGAUGUCAUUAUCCUAUACCGGAUACGGGUACUAAUACAGAUAAUCAAAUAUCAUAUAUUGAUCGCUAUCACCCAAGAUACAGAGUACUCAAGUUACUAUAUAACUCUCACCCAUAGUAAGUCAAAGUGAUAUACGAAUCAACAUAUAUAUUUGAAAUCUUAUUAGUAUUAAGAUUUUAUUAAGUCACCGAGAUCUUUGAUUCUUCACUUAAGUCAGACAGAAGAAUACAUCUCACUGUGGUCCUAUCAAUACGUUAUGACGUACCAGUAUAGACAAGUAGUCAAGACAAACUACUUCCAUCUAUAUCGCAGCCUAAACCAAUGACUCGUCCUAAAGUCAUCUCGACUGUGAUAAUUUUAUAUCUCUUAAGGUUAUUCCAAUUAUAUGGUCUUCUGUGAUCUACAACACACAAUAUAAUCUACUUAUAUAGAGACAAAGGACAUAUAUAUGCAAUCAUGAACACAAUCAGAUAGGAGAUUAAAAUAGUGAACUUAGGAAACAUUGUAUACAAGCAUAAAACGUUCUUGCUUUCAGUAUACAAAUCCAACAAUCUCCCACUUAUACGAAAGCAAAAUUUUAGUAUACAAUGCGUUUAUUUACCAAUCACCUAACACUUCUCCCACUUAUACUUAAAGUUUCCUAAGUGGGUGACAUUAAUCGCAUUCCCAUCUUUCAAUGACCAUUUGCGAUAAGCCUUUAGUGGAAAGAUUAGUAGGUUUCUCCAAUAUGUGAGAAUUUAUUCUAUGAGCACAAAACCUCGAUUUACGAAUAAUCGUAUAACUUGGUACUUACUCUCCAUGUGUUUGACCCCUUGUGGUUCUUGGAUUCCUUAGAGUUCGCAACUGCACUUGAGGUAUCACGAAGGUGAUGCUCUCACGCAAACUAGGAAUCACCCUUAGAUCCUGGAGGUAGUGGUCAAACCAAAAGGUUUUACCUCCCAAGGAAAACACAUAGCUCGAGGUAAUUAUUCUUCGGUCAGCCUGGAAAUCCGAAAUCAUAUAAUCCAAAAAGGAACUAAACUGUCUAACUGAUAAACUAUCCUUAUUCUCUAGUCAUGGACUUGAGAAUAUAAUUUACCACAGUUCAGUGUCCUUAACUAGAACUAUACUGAUAUCUUACAACCAUGCUAACUGCAUAGCAAAUAUAAGAUCUCGUACAUAACAAUCCAUACAUGAAGCUAUCUACUGCGGAAACGUAGAAUACUUCCUUCAUUUCCUCAACCUUAAUAGGCAUCUUAAGACAUAGUCUUUAGAUAAA
rnacentral:lncRNA from 1 species